UACGUAGGGGGCUAGCGUUGUCCGGAAUCAUUGGGCGUAAAGAGCUCGUAGGCGGCCAGUUGCGUCUGCUGUGAAAUCCCGGGGCUCAACCCCGGGCGUGCAGUGGAUACGGGCUGGCUAGAGGCAGGCAGGGGAGAACGGAAUUCCCGGUGUAGCGGUGAAAUGCGCAGAUAUCGGGAGGAACACCGGUGGCGAAGGCGGUUCUCUGGGCCUGUACUGACGCUGAGGAGCGAAAGCGUGGGGAGCGAACAGG
rnacentral:rRNA from 1 species